AUAGGUUUGGGAGGUCCCGAUGCCAACACUCCUGCUACCUUCAGAUCAAGAUGUAGAAUUGUCAGUUCCUUCUCCAAUACCAUGUCUGCCUGCAAAAGUAACAGAAAGACCAGACAUGAGAUGGAGUUAUCCUGCUACAGAAGUAGCACCAGGUCAGAGAUGCUGACCUGGAGACCAGGAGGUCCCAGAGGUAUAGCCACAAGAGUCUUUUAACUUUUUCCUAAACAGUGAGACUUAUAAAGUUUAGGUUCCCUCCUCUCUGAAGACUUACUUGUGUCAAGCUGAUAUAAACUAGCCAGCACAACUAAGAAAGAAGAUACAACUGGUCUAAACAUUCAACCCAGAAAGCUGGAGAAAGGUCAGAGGUUCUCUUUCCAGCCUGACCCUGGCCUUUUGUCAGGGAAGGAGUGCUGCAGAGGUUUGUAAACAGUACGAUAUGACAUUUAGUAACCAGUAUGUAAGCAGUAGAAUACGAAACUGAUGUAUUUGGAGAAAAAUAAGGUACUCUUUAUUAAAAUAUUAAACAGC
rnacentral:lncRNA from 1 species